UACGUAGGUCCCGAGCGUUGUCCGGAUUUAUUGGGCGUAAAGCGAGCGCAGGCGGUUAGAUAAGUCUGAAGUUAAAGGCUGUGGCUUAACCAUAGUACGCUUUGGAAACUGUUUAACUUGAGUGCAGGAGGGGAGAGUGGAAUUCCAUGUGUAGCGGUGAAAUGCGUAGAUAUAUGGAGGAACACCGGUGGCGAAAGCGGCUCUCUGGUCUGUAACUGACGCUGAGGCUCGAAAGCGUGGGGAGCGAACAGGAUUAGAUACCCUGGUAGUCCACGCCGUAAACGAUGAGUGCUAGGUGUUAGACCCUUUCCGGGGWUUAGUGCCGCAGCUAACGCAUUAAGCACUCCGCCUGGGGAGUACGACCGCAAGGUUGAAACUCAAAGGAAUUGACGGGGGCCCGCACAAGCGGUGGAGCAUGUGGUUUAAUUCGAAGCAACGCGAAGAACCUUACCAGGUCUUGACAUCCCUAUGCWCGCUCUAGAGAUAGAGUUUUCCUUCGGUACAUMGGUGACAGGUGGUGCAUGGUUGUCGUCAGCUCGUGUCGUGAGAUGUUGGGUUAAGUCCCCGCAACGAGCGCAACCCUUAUUGUUAGUUGCCAUCAUUCAGUUGGGCACUCUAGCGAGACUGCCGG
rnacentral:rRNA from 1 species